CAUCUCUAUGAUGAUUGCUUGUUAAUUGAAAGUAGUGGACUGAUCUGUUGAUGAUUAAUAUAUUCUGAGAGAUG
rfam:Jatropha curcas cultivar GZQX0401 scaffold108_102, whole genome shotgun sequence.